UGCGAGUGAAGCGGGAUAAGCUCAAAUUUAAAAUCUGGUAGUCUUUGAUUAUCCGAAUUGUAAUCUAGAGAAGUGUUACCCGCGCUAGACCGUGUACAAGUCUCCUGGAAUGGAGCGUCAUAGAGGGUGAGAAUCCCGUCUUUGACACGGACUACUAGGGCUAUGUGGUGCGCUCUCAACGAGUCGAGUUGUUUGGGAUUGCAGCUCUAAAUGGGUGGUAAAUUCCAUCUAAAGCUAAAUAUUGGCGAGAGACCGAUAGCGAACAAGUACCGUGAGGGAAAGAUGAAAAGAACUUUGGAAAGAGAGUUAAACAGUACGUGAAAUUGUUGAAAGGGAAACGCUUAAAGUCAGUCGCAUUGUCCAGGGAUCAACCUUGCUUUGCUUGGUGUACUUUCUGUUCAAUGGGUCAACAUCAAUUUUGAUCAGUGGAUAAAAAUUAAAGGAAUGUGGCACCUUCGGGUGUGUUAUAGCCUUUGGUUGUAUACAUUGGUUAGGAUUGAGGAAUUCAGCACGCCGCAAGGCAGGGUUUUACCACUUACUUGCUUAGGAUGUUGGCAUAAUGGCUUUAAUCGACCCGUCUUGAAACACGGACCAAGGAGUCCAACAUGCAUGCGAGUGUUUGGGUGGAAAACCCUUGCGCGAAAUGAAAGUGAAAGUUGGGAUUCCUGUCAUGGGAAGCACUGAUACCUGGACCAGACCUUUUGUGACGGAUCUACGGUUGAGCAUGUAUGCUGGGACCCGAAAGAUGGUGAACUAUGCCUGAAUAGGGUGAAGCCAGAGGAAACUCUGGUGGAGGCUCGUAGCGAUUCUGACGUGCAAAUCGAUCGUCAAAUUUGGGUAUAGGGGCGAAAGACUAAUCGAACC
rnacentral:rRNA from 1 species